rnacentral:rRNA from 1 species
AUUGAACGCUGGCGGCAGGCUUAACACAUGCAAGUCGAGCGGAGAUGAGGUGCUUGCACCUUAUCUUAGCGGCGGACGGGUGAGUAAUGCUUAGGAAUCUGCCUAUUAGUGGGGGACAACAUUCCGAAAGGAAUGCUAAUACCGCAUACGUCCUACGGGAGAAAGCAGGGGAUCUUCGGACCUUGCGCUAAUAGAUGAGCCUAGGUCGGAUUAGCUAGUUGGUGGGGUAAAGGCCUACCAAGGCGACGAUCUGUAGCGGGGCUGAGAGGAUGAUCCGCCACACUUGGACUGAGACACGGCCCAGACUCCUACGGGAGGCAGCAGUGGGGAAUAUUGGACAAUGGGGGGAACCCUGAUCCAGCCAUGCCGCGUGUGUGAAGAAGGCCUUAUGGUUGUAAAGCACUUUAAGCGAGGAGGAGGCUACUGAGACUAAUACUCUUGGAUAGUGGACGUUACUCGCAGAAUAAGCACCGGCUAACUCUGUGCCAGCCGCCGCCGUAACAC